AAUGAACGCUGGCGGCAGGCCUAACACAUGCAAGUCGAGCGGAAACGAUCCUAGCUUGCUAGGAGGCGUCGAGCGGCGACGGGUGAGUAACGCGUGAGAAUCUACCCAUGAUGGGGGACAACCCGGGGAAAUCGGGCUAAUACCGCAUACGCCCUACGGGGUAAAGCAGGGGACCUUCGGGCCUUGCGCUGAUGGAUGAGCUCGCGUCGGAUUAGCUUGUUGGUGAGGUAAAGGCUCACCAAGGCGACGAUCCGUAGCUGGUCUGAGAGGAUGAUCAGCCACACCGGGACUGAGACACGGCCCGGACUCCUACGGGAGGCAGCAGUGGGGAAUCUUGGACAAUGGGGGCAACCCUGAUCCAGCCAUGCCGCGUGUGUGAAGAAGGCCUUCGGGUUGUAAAGCACUUUCAGCAGGGAGGAAGGCUUACCCCUAAUACGGGUGAGUACUUGACGUUACCUGCAGAAGAAGCACCGGCUAAUUUCGUG
rnacentral:rRNA from 1 species